UGCUAUGCCCAUAUCAUCCUGAACAUGCCCGAUCUCGUCUGAUCUUGGAAGCUAACCAGGGUGGGGCCUGGUUAGUACUUGGAAGGGAGGAUCAAACAAUACAUUUA
rnacentral:rRNA from 1 species